UAGAGUUUGAUCCUGGCUCAGAUUGAACGCUGGCGGCAUGCCUUACACAUGCAAGUCGGACGGCAGCGCGGGAGCAAUCCUGGCGGCGAGUGGCGAACGGGUGAGUAAUACAUCGGAACAUGUCCAGUAGUGGGGGAUAGCCCGGCGAAAGCCGGAUUAAUACCGCAUACGAUCUAUGGAUGAAAGCGGGGGAUCGCAAGACCUCGCGCUAUUGGGGUGGCCGAUGGCGGAUUAGCUAGUUGGUGGGGUAAAGGCCUACCAAGGCGACGAUCCGUAGCUGGUCUGAGAGGACGACCAGCCACACUGGGACUGAGACACGGCCCAGACUCCUACGGGAGGCAGCAGUGGGGAAUUUUGGACAAUGGGGGCAACCCUGAUCCAGCAAUGCCGCGUGUGUGAAGAAGGCCUUCGGGUUGUAAAGCACUUUUGUCCGGGAAGAAAUCCCCUGCCCUAAUACGGCGGGGGGAUGACGGUACCGGAAGAAUAAGCACCGGCUAACUACGUGCCAGCAGCCGCGGUA
rnacentral:rRNA from 1 species